CCUACGGGAGGCAGCAGUGGGGAAUUUUGGACAAUGGGCGAAAGCCUGAUCCAGCAAUGCCGCGUGCAGGAUGAAGGCCUUCGGGUUGUAAACUGCUUUUGUACGGAACGAAAAAGCUCCUCCUAAUACGAGAGGCCCAUGACGGUACCGUAAGAAUAAGCACCGGCUAACUACGUGCCAGCAGCCGCGGUAAUACGUAGGGUGCGAGCGUUAAUCGGAAUUACUGGGCGUAAAGCGUGCGCAGGCGGUUAUGUAAGACAGAUGUGAAAUCCCCGGGCUCAACCUGGGAACUGCAUUUGUGACUGCAUGGCUAGAGUACGGUAGAGGGGGAUGGAAUUCCGCGUGUAGCAGUGAAAUGCGUAGAUAUGCGGAGGAACACCGAUGGCGAAGGCAAUCCCCUGGACCUGUACUGACGCUCAUGCACGAAAGCGUGGGGAGCAAACAGGAUUAGAUACCUUGGUAGUCCACGCCCUAAACGAUGUCAACUGGUUGUUGGGAAUUAGUUUUCUCAGUAACGAAGCUAACGCGUGAAGUUGACCGCCUGGGGGGUACGGCCGCAAGGUUGAAACUCAAAUGAAUUGACGGGG
rnacentral:rRNA from 1 species